AUUGAACGCUAGCGGCAGGCCUAACACAUGCAAGUCGAACGAGUGGCGGACGGGUGAGUAAUGUCUGGGAAACUGCCCGAUAGAGGGGGAUAACUACUGGAAACGGUAGCUAAUACCGCAUACUAUCGGAUGUGCCCAGAUGGGAUUAGCUAGUUGGUGGGGUAAAGGCUCACCAAGGCGACGAUCCCUAGCUGGUCUGAGAGGAUGACCGGCCACACUGGGACUGAGACACGGCCCAGACUCCUACGAGAGGCAGCAGUGGGGAAUAUUGCACAAUGGGCGAAACCCUGAUCCAGCCAUGCCGCGUGUAUGAAGAAGGCCUUCGGGUUGUAAAGUACUUUCAGCGGGGAGGCGGUACCCGCAGAAGAAGCACCGGCUAACUCCGUGCCAGCAGCCGCGGUAAUUC
rnacentral:rRNA from 1 species